rnacentral:rRNA from 1 species
UACGUAUGGAGCAAGCGUUAUCCGGAUUUACUGGGUGUAAAGGGAGCGUAGGCGGCUCUGUAAGUCUGAUGUGAAAAUUUGGGGCUCAACCCCAAACGUGCAUUGGAAACUGCAGGGCUUGAGUGCCGGAGAGGCAGGCGGAAUUCCUAGUGUAGCGGUGAAAUGCGUAGAUAUUAGGAGGAACACCAGUGGCGAAGGCGGCCUGCUGGACGGUGACUGACGCUGAGGCUCGAAAGCGUGGGGAGCAAACAGG